rnacentral:lncRNA from 1 species
UAGCCUCUGAACAGAUGGUUGCUGGUACUGUAGAGGAAACUUGAAUAUUCGCCAGCAUGCUUCAGUUGCUGUUAUGUAUCUGCAUCUAAGGUACAUUUUAAUCUCAUCAUUGUUUUUUGAUUUGUCUGUUUCUUCAACCAUUGCUGUUGCUUGGUUAUCUCCUUGACGGAUAUCCUUAAAGAGGUAUUUGAUUGGCAUAUAUCGAUCACACAACUCCACAUUUAUGUGUGCUUGGAAUUUUACCAGGAGAUGCUUGUUGUAUGGUACAACAAAUCCAUUGUUCAAUUUGACUCCUCCCUUAUCUAUCUGGCGGCCAUUAUCUCGUCUCCUGUACCUUGGGAAGUUGUCUUCAUCAACGACCGUCUCAUCGCAAAAUUCUUUUGGAAAGUAGUUACUGCACAUAUGUUUUUCCAUGCAGGGUGACUUUGGAUUUGCCUCUCCACAUGGUCCGUGCAUCAUAAAAUUCUUGACAGCUUCAAAUGUUUCUGGAUCCCUGUCCUUAUCCGGGAUUUCAGCACAUAUAAUUUCAUCUGUUUGUGAGGGCUUGAGACGCUUCCCUUUCUCUUUUCCAUCAAGGAAUAUUAGUAUAUGGGCAUGUGGGCGUCCUCUCUUCUGGAAUUCUAUUGUGAAGAUGACUGCAUUUUAAAAAGUUAUAUCAGUAAAUUACCAGUCAUAAAAAAGUGCAAACAUGUAUUACUGGUAAGUGAUGAUUUACUAAUACUUACCUGCUUUAGUCUUCCCGAAAUGCUGUUUACUUUUUAUAUCAAACAUGAGCUCUUUUAGUUUUAUCAUGAACACUCGAACUGCAAUAUCAGGUCGUUCUGCUGGUUUCUGGUUCCCGGCUUCAUUUAGCAUCAACUGAAUCUCAGGCCAAUUAGGGUUGCAUGUGAAUGUUACGAACAAGUCAGGAUAUCCAGCCCAACGGCAUAUUGCCAUCACAUCUUGGUAGUUCUGCUCUAUGUUUCGAGGACUUCCUGUGAAACUUGCUGGGAGUACUAUUCUCCUCCCUACUUGCUCUGCUAGUGUGUCUCCUUUUCUGAAUGCGUCCUGUAGUCCAUCAUAAAGUUCUGUCCUUAACUUUCCUUGAUUUUUUCUUACCCAAUUG